rnacentral:lncRNA from 1 species
GCCUAGUAUGCAUCUUGCAUAUUUGGCAUCCAAAACUAUUGCUUGAUUUGAUUUCGUUUCAAUCUAAAACUUUUUUUUUUGUAAUAUUAACAUUUGGGGGAAUUUAUGCUCAGCUGCUCUUCAGAGAAUAGAACACAGAGAUGAUAGAAUUGGUAAACUGUAAACUAGUGUGGAUGAAUCUUUUGUAAUGGUUGAUUUUGUGUCACAGGGUGCCCAGAUAUUUGGUUAAACAUUUUUUCUGUGUGUGUUUGUGAGGGUAUUUCUGGAUAAGAUUAACAUUUGAAUUAGUAAACUGAGUAUAGACGAUUGCCCUGUACAAUGUCCCCAGGCCUCAUCCGAUCAGUUGAAGUUUGAAUAAAAACAGAAGGCUGAGUAAGGAAGAAUUCACUCUCUCUGCUUGACUCCCUUUGAGCUGGGACAUCAGUCUCCUCCUGCCUUUGGACUUGGACUGAGACUGAAACUUACACCAUCAGCUCUCUUGCUUCUUGGGCCUUCAGACUUGGACUGGAGCUAUACCAUCAGCUCUCUUUGAGCCUGCUGACUUUCCUAGCUUGCAGAUCUUAGGACUUGUCAGCCCUCAUGUUGCAUGAGCCAAUUCUUUAUAAUAAAUCUCUCUCUCUCCCCACACACAUGCGUGCGCAUACACACACACACACACACACACACACACACACUAGUGGUUCUGUUCUCUGGAGAACCCUAAUACACAUUUUGGUAUGGAGUCUAGAGGAACAAAAUCUUAAGAAUGAGCUUUCUGAAUUGGUUCUGGGGUUUUGUAAUUGGCUCUGUAAUGUAAUUAGAUUUAGAGAUUCUCAUAACUCUAUUUCCAGCAGUAAAGAGAGCAUUGAUAGUACAUGUUGUACUCUGGUGAUAGCGAUAUACAAAAUAGCACCAUUUGAUACUCUGAACCACUUAUAGGAAGUAAAGAUCUGAAUGACUGUUUAUAUGAGACUUUCUAACAUUUUUGGCAAACUAAUGAGUAUAAUGAGAUUGACUGGUUGCUCCUAUUGUCACUAGACCAAGUGGGAAAAAUAAAGGAUGAGCUCAGAGAUUUGAAUAUGAUAAAGAUCAGUGUCCCAGAGGCUGAUGGGUGGAUCAUAGCAAUCCCUUAGCCUAUUUACCUGAAAGGGUGCUUGUACCAGGUGUUAACAGACUGGGUGAGUAAUUUGAGGGACUUGCUCCAAUAUUGGGAAAAAUGAAAACAUGAGGCCAUCUUGAAAAGUUUUUAAGAGCAGAGAUAAGCUUUGUUCAUCUUUGAAAAAAUUGCACAUCCAUGGGCUUGGUACCUUUUUACUGGUGUGUGUUCAAUAAAGGCUGGUUAAACUGGGCCACAUUCUUGAUGAUGGAGCAUUUCCCUUCCUGUUGAGGCUUUUCAAUGGCAAUAGAAUUGCCUAGUAGCUGAAGAAUGAGUGCUAAGGUGCAAUGUUCUGGGAAACUAAUAAGGGAAGUUUAUUGAUAUAAAUUUGCCUUACUCCAGAAUAAGUAUUUUUUGGCUGGCAGUGUUUUUUUAUUUUAUAGCUGUCUUGACUACUAGCAAGAAACUCAGGGAAUAUAAAUUCUAACUUGGUUUUAACGGUAGGAGAGUACAUGGCAUCUCUUGGCCUCAGAUCCCUCUCCUUCAAUUUAAGUAGGGUAAUCAUAUUAACCAAAUCAUCAGGCUGUUAUAAAACAUAUUUUAAUAAAAAUAUCCCCAUACGAAAGAAUCCCUUUGGUGAUUAAUAAAAAGUUGGUAUAAUGAGGUUGUAAUCUCCAGCUCAGUAGGAGGAAGAGAACUACAAUGGGAAGUAUUGAGAUUCUUCAACCCCAUCAGGGGACAAUUACAAUAAUAACCAUAAUAACAAUAAUAAUAGCAAAAAACCCAAUAGUACUUGCCAUUUAUAUUACAUUAGAGCCAGAAAUUCUAUACAGAAGGAGGGUGGCACCCUAGUUGGAAGGAGGUACUGAGGCUAGGAGACACCUUGUGGUUGAAUUGGUAUAGCACUUUACCUUCGAUUGAGAAGACGACAACUGUUAGGAUCAAAGAAUGGGGAUGGGCUGGGUGCAGUGGCUCACACCUGUAAUCCCAGCACUUUGGGAGACCAAGAUGGCGGAUCACCUGAGGUCAGGAGUUUGAGACCAGCCUGGCCAACAUGGUGAAACCCCGUCUCUACUAAACAUACAAAAGUUAGCUGGGCAUGUUUGUGGGCACCUGUACAGCUAUUUGGGAGGCUGAGGCAAGAGAAUCACUUGAACCCGAGAGACGGAGGUUGCAUGAGCCAAGACCAUGCCAUUGCACUUCAGCCUGGGCAACAAGAGUGAAACUCCAUCUCAAAAAAA